UACGUAGGGUGCAAGCGUUGUCCGGAAUUAUUGGGCGUAAAGAGCUCGUAGGCGGUUUGUCGCGUCUGCCGUGAAAACCCGAGGCUCAACCCCGGACUUGCAGUGGGUACGGGCAGACUAGAGUGUGGUAGGGGGAGACUGGAAUUCCUGGUGUAGCGGUGAAAUGCGCAGAUAUCAGGAGGAACACCGAUGGCGAAGGCAGGUCUCUGGGCCACUACUGACGCUGAGAAGCGAAAGCAUGGGGAGCGAACAGG
rnacentral:rRNA from 1 species